ensembl:lncRNA
GUAUCGAGUUUAGUGUCCUUAUUGGGUCCAUUUAGGCAGAGCCAGGAAGCUGUCUCUUGUGCCAAACAACCAGAACACAGGGCACUCACUACAGUGCCACUUCCCAUGGAAUGUUACAAACCAGAAAGUAAGAUGCUGAGCAACAUCGUCAAGGCUGGAAUUCUGGACCGGUGACACCUGAACAGCUCUGCUGAGGAAAUCCACAGCGGCUGACUUCCUAAGACCAGUAAGAGAGAAGCGUGCUGCAGAGUGUUUCCCUGCAGGCUGCAGUAUGGAGGACAGUGAUGCUGAGGAGCUACUGGAGGCCAACUCACACUACAAGGACAGUCCGAAGAUGCUGUUGAAUGGUGGCACUGGGGCAGGGGUGAACUCGAGUCCUGGUAGUGAGGCUACGGUGGAGGAAGGCUCAGGGAUGUAGCCCUGGGAUGUACUGUUGCAUCAUCAGGCCAACGCCAGGAGAGCUGCAGCAGACAGACAGGAGAUGCAUGGGUCUUAUCUAUAACGAAUGACAAAAUGCAAGGCCAAAUAUUCCACUUUAUUAAUCAUUAUCUUUUGGGAUGGGUGGAAUUAUAAAAACUUUAAAUAAUGGAAAUAUAGAAUUCCAGGGUCUUUGUGAAAGAUGGAUUUAUUAUAAUAUUGUUAUUGUCUCUGCUUUGUCAAACCAUUUGAUUUAUGAUUUGGGAGUCUACUAAGAUUUGUUUCACAGUACUUCUUGAUUUUUAACAAAAAACGGCUAACACUUGUUAUAUUAGUUAAAGAAUCAUAUAAUUGCCUACCUUCAUAUUGGUGCUUCGUAAGAAUGGUGCUCAGUACCUCAUUUAUUUUGCAAGUUAUCUUUGUAGAAUCAUAGAUCUUAAACUGCAUAGGUACAGCUCUUUAUAAGCCAUGAAUUGUCCAAAUGAAAUAUUUCCCACUUUGACAGUUAAGAAUGGUAAAACUCGAACUAUGAGAAGUAAUUGAAGUUGAUAUACUAAAUUAUAUUAUGUGGAGCAAUGGAAAAUAUUUGUAUAAUAUUUUGACAAUGUACUUUUUGAAGAUUUGCAAACAAAAUGCUUUUACCAUUUACAACUAAUUUUACAAAAUUCCAUUGUAAUGUGCCUACUCCCAAGUCAAAAAUUAUAGGGAAUUAUCCCUGACCUGUAUCACCUGUAUUUAAACAUCCAACUUACUGAUUUAGAAAUAUAUAGGCAGGCCUACUUUAGAAAUGUCUGUGUAAAUAUCUCAAUAAAUGCAUAUUUUAAUCAA